CUCGUUCCUUUAAACCCGUCGCCUUCCCCUCCGCCAAGAAGCCGAAAGCCCCCUUCUGUACCUCACUUCCAAUGGCGAAAGGUAACCAUUCUUCUUCUUCGGCGGCGGCGGCGGCGGCGUCGUCCUUUCCCCUCUUCGUCGACUCGAGCCUCGACACCCAUCUGGCCAUGGUCGUCUCCUCGGACGACACCGUUGCUGAUCUCAGGAGGAAGAUAAGGAUUGAGCAUGCUCUUUGCUUUCCAAAUGUUGGAGAAAUCACUAUCCAUGCAAUGAAGGUCAAGCGCAGAUCAUCCUUCUAUAAUUUGUCGAAUUUGAUGCUUGUUAGAGGUGCUUUCGAUGGGAUCAAAGGGACUUGGUUUCUUCAUAUCGAUGCUGCUCCUGUAUCCAUGAUGAAAAGUCAAGCAGGAAUUGCAGAAAAUGUUGUAAGUGAGAAUGUUGAGCAAUCAGAAAAGCAUGUUCAGCUUCAUGCAGAGCCUAAUGUUAGGGUCUCACUGGGCCACUGCCGUGAUAAGUUGCAAGGUGUUGUGGAUGAAAGGCAAUCAUUGCUUGAAACUUCUUUGGACAGAUCAGCCAAUCAUGGUAAUUCAUCAUUGCCAAAUGCUAGAAAUUGUCAAAUUGAAAGCUUGCAUGGUUCUUCACAUGAUCAGAUUGGUAUGGGUGAUACAAAUGUUGACACAUCAAAGGGGAUGAACUUAAGAGAGAAAGGGGUGUCUAGACUUGAUCAGAUUCCUAAUGUAACAGACAUGCACAAAGGACAAGUUCAUGAGGGCAGUGAAGAGGUUGGACUGCAUGUACAGUCCAAAACUGACCUUGUUGUUGGUCAAGAGGAGGAUGGUGGAGAAAAAGGAUCUGAGAAUCCUGAUGUUGGAUCUAGCGAUGGAGAUGCUUCUAUUUUUGCUACCAAGAAAGAAAAAUUCAGAAAAAGGAGUAACAUCUCAGUGAACAAUCUUAUUUUGGAUGGAGAUUCAGAACAUCUUUCUCAAGAGAAGAAAAAGCACAACAAGGAAAAAGAUGGCUCUUUUAGGGAGGCACCUCUUGAGGAUCCUGCAAUAGGAAAUAACUUUGAAAGGCCUGCCUAUAAGAAAGAGACACCCAAGUUGGAAAAUGCUCCACCACAAACCAAUUCUCAGGAGAAACAUCUGGCUUUUAUAGAGGAAUUAUCCAGUAAACUACUCCGAGGUGACUCAGUGCCAGAAAAUCUAGUGGAUGAUAAAAGGAAAAAGAAAAGGAGAAAAAAGUCAUCCAAGUUUCUUGAUGAAGUUGAACCAGCUGUUCCAUUCAAUAAUGGUGGUACUAGCUUGUCACACAGCAUGGAGGAACCCCAUACCAAAAUUGGACCUUAUGAUAGCUCAGUGGAUUUAACUGGUACUGUUAUUCCUGUAGGUGAACAAGCCGUUGAAGGUCAUGCCAAGGAAGCAGGGGUAAACAACUAUAGAACUCUGACCAAAGUGCCUGAUGCUGCAGUCCAUACUGAAGAAGCUACUAAGAAUGCAGCAGAUGAGAACCAGGAAGUUCCUUUGGAUCAUAGCCAUACAGAAUGGAGUGAAGAACCUAGCAUUCUAGAUGGUCUGAAAGUGGCUGCAUCACUUACAAAUCCAUCUGGAGUUGAUGACUUUCCAACUAACUCGCUUCACAGCAGAAAAAUGUCCAAUAAUGAAUUACCAAAAACCAUGUCAAGCAAGUUUGAUCCUGCUCAUCCUUCAGAACAUGUGAAUAAAGAGAAUAUUGGUGAAGCAUCUGGAGGCAACUGUAGGGAUCUGCAUGAAGAAUCAGAUGCAGCAACCAUUCUUAAAAAAUUUGGGGAUCCUAACAACCUUGCAAGUUUAGACGUUGAAGUUCCUUCUGGCACUGAUAUUAGAAGUGUACAUAGUAGGAGGAAAAAGAAUACAAAGAAAACUGAAUUUACCAGUCUGCAACCUGAUAAAAAUGGGAGUGCUCAUCCUUCACGUGAUCAAGUCACUGAAGAGAACUGCAAAGAGACAUUAGGUGACCCCCAUAGUGAACUUGGUAAAGAGUAUGAGGGAGCAACUGUUCUUAGAGAGGUUGUUGCCCUUGAAAAUUCUGCUGUAGUGGAUUCUCAUAUGCUUUCUAAUAUUAAUGAGAAAAGAUCAUGUAGGAAAAGGAAAAAAUCAGCCAAAUCCAAACUUCAAAAUCAUGAGUUCGUUCAUCAUGCCCACUCUCUGGGGAAAGGUCCUGUUAAAGAAAAGCCCACAGAAACAUUGGAUAUGAACCAUAAAGAUUUGGGUAAUGAAUCUAAGCCAACAACCAGUCAUGGAGAGCCUGCAGCUCUUGGAAGUCCUUCAAAAGUAGAUUUUGUCAUUCCUUCAAAUAACAAUGCUAAAAUCUCACAUCACCACAAGAAAAAAUUAGCCAAAUCAGAAGUGUUAAACAACAUGUCCAGCAAUCAUGACCUAUCUUCAAGGGAUUUGAGUACUCCAGAGAAUUUUGAGAGAGCAUUUGGAACUACUCACAGAGAUUCAGGUAAUGAAUCUAAUGCUACGAUGCUUCCUGAUGAUGCUUCACAGAAUAUAUCUAAACUAGGUUCAGCCUCGUUGUUCAAUGAUUCAUCUAACAAGCAUGAAACUGCCCACCUUUCAGCAAAAAACAUAACCCAAAAGAACAGAAAGGAAUUGUUGGGAAAUACUCAUGAUAAUUCUGGUAAAGAAAUUGGCCAGAAUAUGACCCAUAAGAGAUCUGCAGAUUCUAUUGAAGUGCAUGAACAUAUGGAUCCUCCCGGGUAUGGUAGUGGCAAGACUAACUUCAUCGAUUCUUUUCUUCCUAAAGUUGUCGAGCAUGAAUCUGUUCUUUCUGCAAAGGAGCUUCCAUUGAAGGAGACUGUAACUGGGAAAUUAAAAAAGGGAAAAAGUAAAAGGAAAAAAAAAUCAAGCAUGUAUUCACAAGAUUCCACUGUUGACACGGUAAAGCCUUCAAGUUCAAAUGAGCAGCACAUGCAUAAGAAGAAAUACCAAGAUGCUGAUCCUGGUAAGCAUUUUCUGACUGAUUCUAUGGUACAACUCACAGAUAAGGAAGUUAAAACUAAAAAAGUGCAUAAUGAAAAAACUGUAGAGAGGUCAAGUAAAUCCAAUGUGAAUUUUGGUGAUACCUCUUCUAUUAUGAUUUCACCACGAAAGCCACAUGAUGAUAGCGGACCUGAAAAGAAGCUUCAGGAAUACAAAUCUGACACUUCUUGUCAGGUAUCCCUGUCAAGGAAUGAGCAUAGCAAGCAUGUGCAUCAUCCCAAGGAAAAGUCUUCUGUUUCUGAUGGUAAGCUUAAAUCUCAUAAUCAUCAGGAUGACACUGCCAUUGUGCACUCCUCAGACGAUGUCCUCCAGUCUGAGAAUUUAAGUACUGUCAUCAGAGGUCGUGCUGUAGGUGCACCUGCUACUCAGAGUGAUAGUGCUGAUGCAGUGGCUAAUCUGGCAGCAUCUAGUGACAGCACAGAAGAUAUACCACACCAAACUAAACAAUAUAGAGUUGCAGUUAGGAAGGUUCCAAGUAAAGGAUUUGGGAAGGUUCUUAAGAAUUCUAAACAAGAAAAGCCUUUGUUAGUUACUUCUAGUGCAAUAUUUGAUGAUGCUACAAGUGGAAGUUCUGAUGAUGAGUUUGGGAUUAGUAAUAUAGAAGAUCCUAUGAAAGCAGCCUCAGAUAAUUCAUCUACGUCUUCUGACUCAGAUGGGGACCUUGAAGAAACACAGACUCCAGAGUCAAUUUAACUGAACUUUCCAAAGUUAUUCCCUGUCUGGACUACUCUCAUGCUUCUUCUGGAAUUAAACCUGCUGCUUAUGGUAAAAAAGAUGAGGGAACUGAUGGUAGGAGUAUCUUUCUGUCACAGUGGAUCGAAGAGAAAAUAACUAGUUAGUAAUAGAGACAAAUAGUAGUUGGAUGAGGUGCUACAUCAGGUUUCAAGGAAAAUUGGUUGACAGGUUUGGGAGUAGUAGGAUGCGAGUAUCCGGAAAGAUUGGAAAUGCCAGGUUGGAACUUCAUAGUACCAAAACUGAGUGGGGUGGAAAGAGAUGCAAGGGCUUGGUCAAACAUGAAAAGGAUGAGGAAGACUAUUAUUUUACAGAUGAAAAGUAUGCAAGAGAUUCAGACACUAGUUCACAUUGGCAAUUUUAAUGCGCAAAUGGCUUUAUUUUGGAGACAUCACUCAAGAUCAUCAGACUUGCCAUUCUGAAAGGGACAUUGAUGAGGUUUGUGUAAGAUGCCUACUAUGCGUGAUGCAUCAUCUAAUGAUAAUUUUAACUUCUAUCAGUUAUACGUUUUGUCUAUGUGCACCAAUGUUCAUUCUGUGGACCUGAUGAUAUUGUUUUAGACGUGUAGAUUCACGACAUCAGAAACUCAGCGCUAUUACAUCCAUCUGCACUGCAACACUAGCAGAAAGAUGGCCUUGGAAGUAUUCAAGAAAAAGCUUAACUUUUAAGCUUAUUGUGACCAAGAGUGUACAACUGAAUAAAAUAUGGUUGUUGUGUUUGGCUAGUUGUAAACAUUAAGAGUUUCACCUAGAGUUUGCUGAGGUAAAGAAUGUGGCUGUUGUUUGCUAGCUUGCGCGCAUGCACACUGUAAUUUGAUUUCACACUUCUGAAGAUCAAAUGCAUCCAAAAAGAAUAUGCCCUUAGGCACGAUCCAGAAGUGCAAGCAGCUACAAAAAGGCGAGGCUUUUGGCAUCUCAAUCACAAGCUGAGGACUCUGAAAUCCAGUCCAUCGACAUAGUCCCUGAAACUCAAACGGACUCUGCUGCACCUUGAUAAUGCUUGCAGUUUUGCAAGUGAAACUACUGCUGUCCUCUACCACCUAUGGCACCUGGUUUCUGAUAAAGCAGUGUGGCCGUGCAGAGAAUCAUACACCUUGUUUUCUGCAUUUUUUUUUUUUUGGCCUCGCCUGCUCUCGUAUCGACUUUUGACGGUCAGCAAAUUAUGAGGAUUAGAGCUUCUAUUCAUGUAUCCAUGGUAUUGGUUGAGGUUUUAAAUUGACAGUGAUUCAUUUUUUCGGAAAUAUUUGUUGGUGAAUCAGAUCUCAAGAAGUAUAGGAGACCAUUUAUUGGAAAAUUCUUCGUCUCUCCUAACACAUCCCUGAAGAGGCUGUAGGCCAUGGUUUCCAGGAACCACCAAGGAAAUGUUGGCAUUGUAGCCCCAGAUUAGCACCCAGACCCCCUUCAUUUCAUACCAAAAACUGGGUUUGCACCCUGUCCAGGAAAGUUCUUUGGAAACCUAGCAGCUUUCUUGUUGGAAUGUGUUGACAAUGACAUAUAUCUGAUGAGAUGGAGGCAGCAAGGAGCUUGGUGUGUUGCAAGGAGUUUCGAGGGGCUGUUAGAAAACUAUGAGAUUGAUCUCUUAUUUAGCUAAACUAGACCUGUGAUUUGA